rnacentral:lncRNA from 1 species
UUUGUUUUUGAUCAUCCACGGUUAAAGGAUAAGCAGACACUGUUAGCUCCUGAUUUUUCACUUUAAUUUCUAAUUGCAAUUCAACAAUUAAAUCUCGUCCUAACAGAUUAAAUUCUGCUUCAGGGACGAGUAAGAGUUCACCCAUUCCAAAUUUAUUUUCAGUUUCGAAUACCACAUUUUUGAUUUUGCUUACUUUAAAGGGUUCUCCUUUUGCCCCAAUUACUUGUACCUUUUCAGGGGAAACUUUACAUCCCUCAGGUAUUUGCUUAAUAGUUGAUUUCUCAGCCCCAGUGUCUACUAAAAAGGUGAACUCUUGUUUAUGGGGACCUAUUUUUAAUUUUAUCAAGGGCUCAUGAUGACUCCGGUCCCCUAAGAUAUAGAGCCCCUGACUCUCCUAUUCCGUUUUCAAUAUUCCCUCAUCCCUGAUCCUUUCUCUGCAAUUCUUCUUUAUAUGUCCCUUCUUUCCACAGUAAAAACAACAUCUCUGCUCCUUCUUUACUAUUACGUUCCCUUGUUUCAUUCCAGCAGAUCUGUGUUCACCAGUUCGUCCUUUGCGAUCCUCUCUGACCGCUGCUAUCAUCAUUUUUACUUGUCGCUUGCUGCUCUCUUCUUCCCGCCUUACGUAGACUUUCUGAGCUUCCCUCAAUAAUUCAUCCAACCCUCUAUUCUGCCAGUCUUCUAACUUUUCAAUCUUCUUUCUAAUGUCUUCCCAUGAUUUUGCCACAAACUGAGUUUUGAGGAGCGCUUGCCCUAAAGGGUCGUCUGGAUUUACCCCAGAGUACAGCUGAAGGGCUUUCCUCAGUCGUUCCAGCCACUCAGUAGGGCUUUCAUCUUUCUUUUGCAUUUCAUUAAAUGCUUUAUUGAUAUUCUGGCCACGGGGUACUGCUUCUCUAAUUCCCUGAAUUACUAUAGUUCUCAGGUCCUGCAUAUGAGUUCUAUGCAUCGGAUCCUGAUUAUCCCAAUUAGGUCUUUGAAGUGGCCAUUUAAUAUCUGCUUGGGGUCCCUGGGCAUGUUGAGCAUCCCACAGUCUCAUUCCUGCUCGUCUAAUCAUAUCUCUUUCCUCGGUAGUAAAUAAUUGACCAAGGAUAGAUUGCAUCUCAUCCCAAGUAUAAAGGUUUGGUCCCAAAAAUUGAUUUAAUCUUUCUGCCACUCCCAGUGGGUCCUCAAUUAAGUUUCCCAUUUCGGUUCUUUUAAAAUCUCGUAGGUCAGCCGAGUUUAGGGGUACGGAAAUAUAUCCGAUCACAGGUUGAGGUCCCCCCAUGGGUAUUUCCCUUAGGGGGUACAUCUGAGCUGCCCC